GUGCCUGAGGCCUUCUGAAGAGUGAUGCCAGGCACUGUUCUGCUGCACUUCUCCUCUAGCAGUCUCUGCUUGGGACUUAAACUAGUACAGUUCGAAUUACCUGAAUUAUACCACCAGAUUCCUGGGAACACAGGCAUUGACCCAUCUGAAGAAAACCUCAGAACAGCAACAGUUAAAUAAACUAACUUUUCCUGCUGGCUGUACAGGCACUGAGUAUGUUCUGUGGUAAGGAUUCAAGUUUGUCUUCAGGGAUCUGUUGUCUGGUCACCCAGAAUCAAAGGUGCUUUGAAUGAGUUAGAGUAACAGUUUCCCUUUGACCUCCUUGGGUAAUAACACUGCAUAAGAACACACUGCUUGUGCUCUGCUUUACCUGGGCUGUCUGGUAAACCUCACUGGCAUGGUGGCAACACUGGGGAAACUUGUGGCUCCCCUCUUGGAGUGUUUAGAUUCAGUACAAUUUUCCGAGAUGUCUCUGUAAGACUUCCUGUAACAGCUUCCAGUUAGGAGUUGACUGUCUGGGACAACCUCAGAAUUGCACAGCAAUGUUUCUGUGGUCACACAGCUUCUGUCAGGCAAGUAUCUUCUGAAGAGCCAUACAUCCCUGGGUAGCUGUCCUAAUUUUGAUGAGAUUACCUGUACAGAAAGAGACUUACAAUAACUGCUUGGAACAUUCCUUUCUCUUUACCCUUUCCAU